rnacentral:rRNA from 1 species
UGAGUAACCUGCCCUUAACUCUGGGAUAAGCCUGGGAAACUGGGUCUAAUACCGGAUAUGACUCCUCAUCGCAUGGUGGGGGGUGGAAAGCUUUAUUGUGGUUUGGAUGGGCCCGCGGCCUAUCAGCUUGUUGGUGAGGUAAUGGCUCACCAAGGCGACGACGGGUAGCCGGCCUGAGAGGGUGACCGGUCACACUGGGACUGAGACACGGCCCAGACUCCUACGGGAGGCAG